rnacentral:rRNA from 1 species
AGAUGUGAAAUCCCCGCGCUUAACGUGGGAACUGCAUUUGAGACUGGCAAGCUAGAGUCUUGUAGAGGGGGGUAGAAUUCCAGGUGUAGCGGUGAAAUGCGUAGAGAGCUGGAGGAAUACCGGUGGCGAAGGCGGCCCCCUGGACAAAGACUGACGCUCAGGUGCGAAAGCGUGGGGAGCAAACAGGAUUAGAUACCCUGGUAGUCCACGCUGUAAACGAUGUCGACUUGGAGGUUGUGCUCUUGAGGCGUGGCUUCCGGAGCUAACGCGUUAAGUCGACCGCCUGGGGAGUACGGCCGCAGGGUUAAAACUCAAAUGAAUUGACGGGGGCCCGCACAAGCGGGGGAGCAUGUGGUUUAAUUCGAUGCAACGCGAAGAACCUUACCUACUCUUGACAUCCACGGAAUUCGCCAGAGAUGGCUUAUUGCCUUCGGGGACCGUGAGACAGGUGCUGCGUGGGCUGUCUUCACCUCCCUGUUGUGAAAUGUUGGGUUAAGUCCCGCAACGAGCGCAACCCUUAUCCUUUGUUGCCAGCACGUAAUGGUGGGAACUCAAAGGAGACUGCCGGUGAUAAACCGGAGGAAGGUGGGGAUGACGUCAGUCAUCAUGGCCCUUACGAGUAGGGCUACACACGUGCUACAAUGGCAUAUACAAAGAGAAGCAAACUCGCGAGAGCAAGCGGACCUCAUAAAGUAUGUCGUAGUCCGGAUUGGAGUCUGCAACUCGACUCCAUGAAGUCGGAAUCGCUAGUAAUCGUAGAUCAGAAUGCUACGGUGAAUACGUUCCCGGGCCUUGUACACACCGCCCGUCACACC